CUGGAUACAAAAGUACGGACACCGCAAUGUGAAAUAGUUGAAAACGAAUUCCGAGACAAUUUAUCGGACUUGAGGCUUUUAGUAGCAAAAGAAUAUAGUACCAUGCUCAUCGGUGGAAAUGACACAAAAAAAUUUCAUCAUAUGGGGCCUCAGAAGAAACGUCGAUCACUAUCUGAUAAAGAUGCUCGAUUUUUUGAGACAUUGUUA
rnacentral:misc_RNA from 1 species